rnacentral:rRNA from 1 species
UACGUAGGGCGCAAGCGUUGUCCGGAAUUAUUGGGCGUAAAGAGCUCGUAGGCGGUUUGUCGCGUCUGCUGUGAAAACCUAAGGCUCAACCUUGGGCUUGCAGUGGGUACGGGCAGACUAGAGUGCGGUAGGGGUGACUGGAAUUCCUGGUGUAGCGGUGGAAUGCGCAGAUAUCAGGAGGAACACCGGUGGCGAAGGCGGUUCUCUGGGACGGUACUGACGCUGAGGAGCGAAAGCAUGGGGAGCGAACAGG